GACGUAGGGCGCGAGCGUUGUCCGGAUUUACUGGGCGUAAAGAGCUCGUAGGUGGUUUGUCGCGUUGUUCGUGAAAACUCACAGCUCAACUGUGGGCGUGCGGGCGAUACGGGCAGACUAGAGUACUGCAGGGGAGACUGGAAUUCCUGGUGUAGCGGUGGAAUGCGCAGAUAUCAGGAGGAACACCGGUGGCGAAGGCGGGUCUCUGGGCAGUAACUGACGCUGAGGAGCGAAAGCGUGGGGAGCGAACAGG
rnacentral:rRNA from 1 species